rnacentral:lncRNA from 1 species
GCAGUGAGCCCAGGCGGGCAGCCCUGGCCAGCAGCUCUUGUCCCUGUGGCUGGAGGCUGAAGUCCACGUAGGCCCCGGCGGGGAGCCGCUGGGGUGUAGGCCGGGUGCCUUUGUCCAAGCCUGGCGCCACUGCCCAGACACUUUACUUCAAAUUUGGCUUUAUUUUCAUCAUUGAUAUUGAUUAAAAUGACAUUCACUUGCCCGGAAAGUAAAAGAGGUCUUCAGCACAAAAUAUUGCUCCAACAAGCAAGCAUAAAUCACUGAGAUUGAAAUGUCAUCUAUCUUUAUUGGCCAACCACAUAAUCUCCAUGAAAAUUCUCAACAGAGAGCAAGGAACUCACUUUCUUCUAAGCAAAGACAAUUUGGAUUUGCCUCGUGGCACUGGCAUCUCUUCAUGUCUGGACGUCAGAUGUUAGCUUGGUGCCUUUCUCCCUUAUCAGGGGGACAUUUUGAACCCAGCCGCACCAAUGUUCUCAUGGAUGGUGGCCUUCGAUUCUUCUAGAUUCAAGAUUUGGCUCUUGUACUUUUCCUGCCAGUCCUCUACAAUGUACUGGUGGUAGGGGUCAUUGGAGUGUUCCCGUCUCUUGGAUUUCACAGUGCUCACCAGGAUGGCCACGAUGAUGAAAGAGAACAUUCCAAUCAUCACCAUGAGGUACAGGAUGACAUAGUAGAAGUUCUCAGCAUCAACUUUGGCUUGGAGGGCCUCUUGCUCAGCUGUUGUGUUCUGGCGCCAAUUGUCCAUAUAAGUAAUAAAAAUCCUUCGGAAGACGUCUUCCAGCGUCUGUGUGAAAUUGGAUAAAGUAGACAUGCUUCCCUCCUGCUGCAAUUUAAAUAAUAAAAUAGGCGAACAAGGUUAGGAAAACGGAUCUUUUCUGGAUUUGGCUAUGUAAAGGUGGGAGGGAGAUGCCAGGGUAUAAGUAAUAGUAUUUCUUCUUAACCUGGCUGGUGAUUUAAUGCAUAUUUUGUUAGUCUUUAAACUGACUGCGUACAUUUUAUUCACUUUUUUUACAAUCCAUGAUUGUUACACAGUAAAAAUUUAAAUGGCAGAGAAAAUUAUAUAUAUACACUUUGAUAUUUAUAUAUGCAUGUAAAUAAAUGUAUGUGUACAUAUGAAAA